AUAGCUGGUUACUUGAUAAAAGAAUUUUAGUUCUACCUAAAGCCAAAUAAAGUUAAAUUAACUAACAUAUAUGCUUUAGAGUUAUUCAAAUAAGGUACAGCCUAUUUGAAUUAGGAGACAACCUAAACUAAUGGGUAAAAUACUUAUGCUGUACCAAAGUGGGCCUAAAAGCAGCCACCUUAAACAAUAGCGUCAAAGCUUCUCUACAUAAGUGUACUCAAUUUCGCACCCAAACCCAAACCCUUUAUUUUCAACAAGUAAUUCUAUACCCCUAUAGAACAUAAAAUGUUAAAACUAGUAACAAGAAGCAAACCCUUCUCUUAAAUGCAAGUGUAAGCCAGAAAGGAUAAACCACUGUCAAUUAACGCUAAUGAUUUUUAAUUAGCAACACCACAAGAAAACCCUAAUAAAACAAGUGUUAAACUAACACAAGAGCAUUUCAAGAAAGAUUAAAAGAAAAAGAAGGAACUCGGCAAACACCAACCCCGCCUGUUUACCAAAAACAUCGCCUCUUGAUAAACAUAAGAGGUCCAGCCUGCCCAGUGACCUAGUUCAACGGCCGCGGUAUCCUAACCGUGCGAAGGUAGCGUAAUCACUUGUUCUUUAAAUGAGGACUAGUAUGAAUGGCAUCACGAGGGUUACACUGUCUCCUUUUUUUAAUCAGUGAAACUAAUCUUCCCGUGAAGAAGCGGGAAUUUUUCUAUAAGACGAGAAGACCCUAUGGAGCUUUAAACAAAUUAACACCUGCUGCCUAAAAUACCUCUUUCAGAAGUACAACAUACAGCAUAGCAUGAUGAUUAAUAGUUUUCGAUUGGGGUGAUCACGGAGUAAAAAAUAACCUCCAUGCCGAAAGGACCCUUCCCUGAGCAAAAAGCCACAACUUUAAGCACUAAAAAAUUAACGUUAAUUGACCCAAUAUUUUGAUCAACGAACCAAGUUACCCUAGGGAUAACAGCGCAAUCCACUUCAAGAGCUCCUAUCGACAAGUGGGUUUACGACCUCGAUGUUGGAUCAGGGUAUCCCAGUGGUGCAGCCGCUACUAAUGGUUCGUUUGUUCAACGAUUAAAACCCU
rnacentral:rRNA from 1 species